GAUGAAGAACGUAGCGAAAUGCGAUAAGUAAUGUGAAUUGCAGAAUUCAGUGAAUCAUCGAAUCUUUGAACGCACCUUGCGCCCUUUGGCUAUUCCGAAGGGCAUGCCUGUUUGAGUAUCAUGAACACCUCAACUCUCAUGGUUUGCCAUGAUGAGCUUGGACUCUGGGGGUCUUGCUGGCCUAUGGUCAGCUCCUCUCAAAUAAAUCAGCUUGCCAGUGUUUGGUGGCAUCACAGGUGUGAUAACUAUCUACGCUUGUGGUUUUCCAUCAGGUAACCUUCAGUGAUGGAGGUUCGCUGGAGCUCAUAAAUGUCCCUCCUCAGCGAGGACAGCUUUUUGAACGUUUGAUCUCAAAUCAGGUAGGACUACCCGCUGAACUUAAGCAUAUCAAUAAGCGGAGG
rnacentral:misc_RNA from 1 species